GCUUUCUUCUUCAGUGACAAUUUGACGGCAGGUCCUUCCCUGCGAGAGGGACUGAGGGACCCGAAGCCGAAGAGCCCGAUGUGCCACCACUUCCCCUUGGCUGCCCCAAGCACCUGCUUGCUGAGCUGGUGCCUGGAGCCAGCCCCGCUUGGGCUCUGAUCCCAACCCUUCCCUU